UGACCCCAUGCCGAACUCAGAAGUGAAACGCCGUAGCGCCGAUGGUAGUGUGGGGUCUCCCCAUGCGAGAGUAGGGAACUGCCAGGC
rnacentral:rRNA from 68 species